rnacentral:rRNA from 1 species
UACGGAGGGUGCAAGCGUUAUCCGGAUUCACUGGGUUUAAAGGGAGCGUAGGUGGGUUGGUAAGUCAGUGGUGAAAUCCCCGAGCUUAACUUGGGAACUGCCAUUGAUACUAUCAGUCUUGAAUAUUGUGGAGGUCAGCGGAAUAUGUCAUGUAGCGGUGAAAUGCUUGGAGAUGACAUAGAACACCAAUUGCGAAGGCAGCUGGCUACACAUAUAUUGACACUGAGGCUCGAAAGCGUGGGGAUCAAACAGG